rnacentral:rRNA from 1 species
UGGGGAAUUUUGGACAAUGGGGGAAACCCUGAUCCAGCCAUCCCGCGUGUGCGAUGAAGGCCUUCGGGUUGUAAAGCACUUUUGGCAGGAAAGAAACGUCAUGGGUUAAUACCCCGUGAAACUGACGGUACCUGCAGAAUAAGCACCGGCUAACUACGUGCCAGCAGCUGCGGUAAUACGUAGGGUGCAAGCGUUAAUCGGAAUUACUGGGCGUAAAGCGUGCGCAGGCGGUUCGGAAAGAAAGAUGUGAAAUCCCAGAGCUCAACUUUGGAACUGCAUUUUUAACUACCGGGCUAGAGUGUGUCAGAGGGAGGUGGAACUCCGCGUGUAGCAGUGAAAUGCGUAGAUAUGCGGAGGAACACCGAUGGCGAAGGCAGCCUCCUGGGAUAACACUGACGCUCAUGCACGAAAGCGUGGGGAGCAAACAGG